rnacentral:SRP_RNA from 1 species
GGUCGGGUCCCAUGCAAUGGAUUCCAGUUGAACCGGGUCAGACCCUGACGGGAGCAGCCCUAAGGCCGGAGUGCAUGUGCCGUGGGGGUUGCCCGAUCCGG